GAUGAACGCUAGCUACAGGCUUAACACAUGCAAGUCGAGGGGCAGCAUUUCAGUUUGCUUGCAAACUGGAGAUGGCGACCGGCGCACGGGUGAGUAACACGUAUCCAACCUGCCGAUAACUCGGGGAUAGCCUUUCGAAAGAAAGAUUAAUACCCGAUGGUAUAAUCAGACCGCAUGGUCUUGUUAUUAAAGAGUUUCGGUUAUCGAUGGGGAUGCGUUCCAUUAGGCAGUUGGUGAGGUAACGGCUCACCAAACCUUCGAUGGAUAGGGGUUCUGAGAGGAAGGUCCCCCACAUUGGAACUGAGACACGGUCCAAACUCCUACGGGAGGCAGCAGUGAGGAAUAUUGGUCAAUGGGCGCAGGCCUGAACCAGCCAAGUAGCGUGAAGGAUGACUGCCCUAUGGGUUGUAAACUUCUUUUAUAUGGGAAUAAAGUUUUCCACGUGUGGAAUUUUGUAUGUACCAUAUGAAUAAGGAUCGGCUAACUCCGUGCCAGCAGCCGCGGUAAUACGGAGGAUCCGAGCGUUAUCCGGAUUUAUUGGGUUUAAAGGGAGCGUAGGUGGACAGUUAAGUCAGUUGUGAAAGUUUGCGGCUCAACCGUAAAAUUGCAGUUGAUACUGGCUGUCUUGAGUACAGUAGAGGUGGGCGGAAUUCGUGGUGUAGCGGUGAAAUGCUUAGAUAUCACGAAGAACUCCGAUUGCGAAGGCAGCUCACUGGACUGCAACUGACACUGAUGCUCGAAAGUGUGGGUAUCAAACAGGAUUAGAUACCCUGGUAGUCCACACAGUAAACGAUGAAUACUCGCUGUUUGCGAUAUACAGUAAGCGGCCAAGCGAAAGCAUUAAGUAUUCCACCUGGGGAGUACGCCGGCAACGGUGAAACUCAAAGGAAUUGACGGGGGCCCGCACAAGCGGAGGAACAUGUGGUUUAAUUCGAUGAUACGCGAGGAACCUUACCCGGGCUUAAAUUGCAUUUGAAUAUAUUGGAAACAGUAUAGCCGUAAGGCAAAUGUGAAGGUGCUGCAUGGUUGUCGUCAGCUCGUGCCGUGAGGUGUCGGCUUAAGUGCCAUAACGAGCGCAACCCUUAUCUUUAGUUACUAACAGGUCAUGCUGAGGACUCUAGAGAGACUGCCGUCGUAAGAUGUGAGGAAGGUGGGGAUGACGUCAAAUCAGCACGGCCCUUACGUCCGGGGCUACACACGUGUUACAAUGGGGGGUACAGAAGGCAGCUACCUGGUGACAGGAUGCUAAUCCCAAAAGCCUCUCUCAGUUCGGAUCGAAGUCUGCAACCCGACUUCGUGAAGCUGGAUUCGCUAGUAAUCGCGCAUCAGCCAUGGCGCGGUGAAUACGUUCCCGGGCCUUGUACACACCGCCCGUCAAGCCAUGAAAGCCGGGGGUACCUGAAGUACGUAACCGCAAGGAGCGUCCUAGGGUA
rnacentral:rRNA from 1 species